UCUUCAUUUCACGUGCUCUCUCACCGACCAGAGUGACGAGAGAGUGUGUGAAAUUAAGAGA
rnacentral:pre_miRNA from 1 species